UACUCUAUAAAAUGUGAGGCUACUCCCACUUAUCAAAUUACAGAUGAGUUUAAUUACAGCGCACUGAGUAACCACACUGGGCUCCUUCAGAAAUGGCGGCAGGCGGGGCUGCUCUUCUCAGCUUCAGCUGUAGCCACCCCAGUGUCAGGAGGAAGUGCCCGGGUUCCUGGGGCCUGGGAGUGCACUCAGCUCUGCUGCCAGACAAGAGUGGGUGUGGUGGGCUGCACUGGGUACACUGCUGUACCGGCCACCACCCUCCGGCCACUCUCAGCCAGUGAGUACUCUGCGGGGCCAUCUGGCCACGUGUUCUGUGACUGGGUCAUUUACUCUGCUGCAGCCUCUUUUUCUCCUGCCUACAUUGUGUUCUGGACAAAGGUUUUGGGUCACAGUGUCCGACCAGAGGUGGACAAAGCGGCGUGGUACCUGCCGUAAGAAACAGAGAGGGAGCGUGGCGCGGGGUGAGAAACCUGUGCUUUAUGGAGGCUCGGGGCACCCUCAGGAAGGAGGACCAAGAACAGCAGGCCACUAGGGAGUGGGGAGAGCUCGGGGGCAUCACGAGGGGCAUCAGACUCUUCCCUGCAGGCCGGCGGGACUGACAGGCUCUCGUUCCAAUGCAGGCACUUUGCAGACAUCCUCCUCCACUCAUCUAACACGGAGACAACCUGUCUGGUAAAGCCUCUCAAAUCCAGCCAGAAUCAUCUGGAAGAGGUUAGCAGGCCGGCAGGAAGGCCAGCCUGAAAUGGACUUAGCUGGGAUUCUGCCUGGGGCCCUCACAUUAGCUGUGCAAUGCAGCCUCUGCCCAGAGUGCAAAACAGAAUGCUUCUGGAGCUGCUCGUGACAUCACCUCGCUGUGGCCGCCACACUGUCCCCAUUUGCUUUGGAAAGUAAUCCCCUGUAGUUCUGCAUCGGAAGCAGAGAGGGCACACACGGACUCCCUCCCCAUUCCAGCAGGCAUGGUCUCAAUGCCCCUGCACCUGGGCCUCUGGCCAGGGGCCUCCAUAGCUGCCUGCAGGAGUGAGUACACUGCAGUUGAGCACCUGGCCGUAGCCCUCCACCCUUACCCUGUGCGUCCCUAAAGCCUCCUGUGUCAAAUGAAGUCAUCAUUAUCCCCACCUCGUGAGCUGUCACAAGAAUAAAUAAUUUAAUAUAUGCAAGAUGCUUGGCACCGAGUGUUAUAAAACUCGAUGACGAUGAUAGUUUGCUUCAUCAUCAUCAUCGUCAUCACAACCACCACCAUUCAGUACAUGGUUUCCCGCCUUUGCACUUUUAAAGAAGGAAAACCAACUGCCAUGUGUAAUAUGAUUUAUUUACUACUUCGUUGAAACCAACUUUAAAUAAACUCACUUUUAAAAC